rnacentral:rRNA from 1 species
UACAGAGGUCUCAAGCGUUGUUCGGAAUCACUGGGCGUAAAGCGCACGUAGGCGGCUUACUAAGUCAGGGGUGAAAUCCUGGAGCUCAACUCCAGAACUGCCUUUGAUACUGGUGAGCUUGAGUCCGGAAGAGGUGAGUGGAACUGCGAGUGUAGAGGUGAAAUUCGUAGAUAUUCGCAAGAACACCAGUGGCGAAGGCGGCUCACUGGUCCGGUACUGGCGCUGAGGCACGAAAGCGUGGGGAGCAAACAGG